AGGGAUCUGAACAUUCUGUAUUUCUUCGUGUCAACAUAAAGAAUAUUUGACAAUUUUUUGAGGUGUGUUCGAGAUCAAUAAAUGUAGAAAAAGCUUCAGAGUCUUUGAAAGGAAAUAUGGCUGCUUUUCUAAAUAUUUCUUACUGAUCUAGGAAUGUGUUUCUGGAGUUGGAAGAUCUACAGUAUGUUUUCAUGAUUUCUUCACAUGAGCUUUUCAUUGUUGUUGAAAGAUGAAGAACGAAAGCUACUUGUUGAUCAGAUAAGGAAGAGAUCCCCUAGAGUAAAUCUGUGCAUUACGCCUGUAACUUCAUUUUAUGAUAUCCCAGCCUCAGCAAGUGUCAACAUUGGCCAGUUGGAGCAUCAACUUAUAUUGUCAGUGGAUCCCUGGAGGAUUAGACAGAUUUUAAUUGAAUUACAUGGUGACAUCUCAUGUGUUGGAUGGAAGUUGGGAUAAGAAGUUGGGCCCUCUGCUGGUUUGUAGGGCAAGGUGCUCCCCGGGCCAUGAUGUGUGAUUGUGUAAUUCUUUUGCAUCUUCAAGUUUACUGAGUCUUCUGCCAUCUCAAGUUUGCUGUUACAUCUCUCACAUCUUCUUCCUGAGUGACCUUACACCCUGCAUUGCUGUAAAGCCACCACCAAGAAGACUCUCACCAGAUGCGUUCCCUGGACUUAGGACUUCCCAGCCUCUGAAACUGCAAGUAUGACGACUGCUUCAGCCAAACCGAUCUACUUAUCAUCUCAGGAAAUCAUCUUGCACAUUCCUUCCUCUAUGUUCCUGCUGUUUUCCAAGACUGCAGUGUUCACUUCAAGGCCUUUUUAUGGUAGCUGUUGUUUUUGGUGACCCAGCAUGUAUUCCUCCCCUCUCCCUUCUGGUAUCAGAACCUAACCCACCAUCCACCAGUAGAAACAGAUGUACAAAUCCAGCUUGUUAAUCGUGGUUUCCCCUUCCCCUGGCAACCGUGAUUGUUUCAGGCAAAGAUAAAUGUCCAAGCAGGGCCAAAGUCCUUCUCUGAAUUUUCCCUCCACUAGAAUGAGCUGAAAACCUGCUUCUGCCUCUGGGGUCACUGUGUCAAAGAAUUUUCAUCUGGAGGAACAUCCCAUCUGCAGUGUUAAAGGACAUGGCUGACACACAGAGAGCAGAGAGAAUGUCAUUAAGUCCUGGAUCUACCUUGUGGUUCCUAGUAACAUAAGCCAGUCCAUCAUUUUAGCUUAAGAUACUUUGAGUCAGUUUUGUCAGGUG